rnacentral:rRNA from 1 species
AGCGAACGCUGGCGGCAGGCUUAACACAUGCAAGUCGAACGCAUCGCAAGAUGAGUGGCAGACGGGUGAGUAACGCGUGGGAACAUACCAUUUUCUACGGAAUAGCUCUGGGAAACUGGAAUUAAUACCGUAUACGCCCUACGGGGGAAAGAUUUAUCGGGGAAGGAUUGGCCCGCGUUGGAUUAGCUAGUUGGUGGGGUAAAGGCCUACCAAGGCGACGAUCCAUAGCUGGUCUGAGAGGAUGAUCAGCCACAUUGGGACUGAGACACGGCCCAAACUCCUACGGGAGGCAGCAGUGGGGAAUAUUGGACAAUGGGCGAAAGCCUGAUCCAGCCAUGCCGCGUGAGUGAUGAAGGCCUUAGGGUUGUAAAGCUCUUUCACCGAUGAAGAUAAUGACGGUAGUCGGAGAAGAAGCCCCGGCUAACUUCGUGCCAGCCGCCGCGGUAA